AGAGAGGAGCUUGCUCUUCUUGGAUGAGUUGCGAACGGGUGAGUAACGCGUAGGUAACCUGCCUUGUAGCGGGGGAUAACUAUUGGAAACGAUAGCUAAUACCGCAUAACAAUGGAUGACACAUGUCAUUUAUUUGAAAGGGGCAAUUGCUCCACUACAAGAUGGACCUGCGUUGUAUUAGCUAGUAGGUGAGGUAAUGGCUCACCUAGGCGACGAUACAUAGCCGACCUGAGAGGGUGAUCGGCCACACUGGGACUGAGACACGGCCCAGACUCCUACGGGAGGCAGCAGUAGGGAAUCUUCGGCAAUGGGGGCAACCCUGACCGAGCAACGCCGCGUGAGUGAAGAAGGUUUUCGGAUCGUAAAGCUCUGUUGUAAGUCAAGAACGGGUGUGAGAGUGGAAAGUUCACACUGUGACGGUAGCUUACCAGAAAGGGACGGCUAACAACGUGCCAGCAGCCGCGGUAAUACGUAGGUCCCGAGCGUUGUCCGGAUUUAUUGGGCGUAAAGCGAGCGCAGGCGGUUUGAUAAGUCUGAAGUUAAAGGCUGUGGCUCAACCAUAGUUCGCUUUGGAAACUGUCAAACUUGAGUGCAGAAGGGGAGAGUGGAAUUCCAUGUGUAGCGGUGAAAUGCGUAGAUAUAUGGAGGAACACCGGUGGCGAAAGCGGCUCUCUGGUCUGUAACUGACGCUGAGGCUCGAAAGCGUGGGGAGCGAACAGGAUUAGAUACCCUGGUAGUCCACGCCGUAAACGAUGAGUGCUAGGUGUUGGAUCCUUUCCGGGAUUCAGUGCCGCAGCUAACGCAUUAAGCACUCCGCCUGGGGAGUACGACCGCAAGGUUGAAACUCAAAGGAAUUGACGGGGGCCCGCACAAGCGGUGGAGCAUGUGGUUUAAUUCGAAGCAACGCGAAGAACCUUACCAGGUCUUGACAUCCCGAUGCUAUUUCUAGAGAUAGAAAGUUACUUCGGUACAUCGGUGACAGGUGGUGCAUGGUUGUCGUCAGCUCGUGUCGUGAGAUGUUGGGUUAAGUCCCGCAACGAGCGCAACCCCUAUUGUUAGUUGCCAUCAUUCAGUUGGGCACUCUAGCGAGACUGCCGGUAAUAAACCGGAGGAAGGUGGGGAUGACGUCAAAUCAUCAUGCCCCUUAUGACCUGGGCUACACACGUGCUACAAUGGUUGGUACAACGAGUUGCGAGUCGGUGACGGCGAGCUAAUCUCUUAAAGCCAAUCUCAGUUCGGAUUGUAGGCUGCAACUCGCCUACAUGAAGUCGGAAUCGCUAGUAAUCGCGGAUCAGCACGCCGCGGUGAAUACGUUCCCGGGCCUUGUACACACCGCCCGUCACACCACGAGAGUUUGUAACACCCGAAGUCGGUGAGGUAACC
rnacentral:rRNA from 1 species